rnacentral:rRNA from 1 species
GAUGAACGCUAGCGGCAGGCUUAACACAUGCAAGUCGAGGGGUAAGUCAUUUCGGUGACUGAGACCGGCGCACGGGUGCGUAACGCGUAUGUAAUCUACCUUUUACAGGGGGAUAGCCCAGAGAAAUUUGGAUUAAUACCCCAUAGUAUUAUUGAAUGGCAUCAUUUAAUAAUUAAAGUUCCAACGGUAAAAGAUGAGCAUGCGUCCCAUUAGCUAGAUGGUAAGGUAACGGCUUACCAUGGCGACGAUGGGUAGGGGUCCUGAGAGGGAGAUCCCACACACUGGUACUGAGACACGGACCAGACUCCUACGGGAGGCAGCAGUGAGGAAUAUUGGUCAAUGGGCGCAAGCCUGAACCAGCCAUGCCGCGUGCAGGAUGACGGUCCUAUGGAUUGUAAACUGCUUUUGUACGGGAAGAAACAAUCCUACGUGUAGGAACUUGACGGUACCGUAAGAAUAAGGAUCGGCUAACUCCGUGCCAGCAGCCGCGGUAACAC